rnacentral:rRNA from 1 species
CACCGCGGUUAUACGAGAGGCCCAAGUUGAUGGUUACCGGCGUAAAGAGUGGUUACGGAACUUUUAAACUAAAGCCGAACACCCUUUAAGCUGUCAUACGCACCUGAGGGCACGAAGCCCCCUCACGAAAGUGGCUUUACCCCCCCCCCCCGAACCCACGACAGCUAUGAUA